GAUGAACGCUGGCUACAGGCUUAACACAUGCAAGUCGAGGGGAAACGCCGGGGAAGCUUGCUUCCCCGGGCGUCGACCGGCGCACGGGUGAGUAACGCGUAUCCAACCUGCCUCUGACUGAGGGAUAACCCGUCGAAAGUCGGCCUAAUACCUCAUGGUAUCGUCUGCGGGCAUCCAACGACGAUUAAAGAUUUCAUCGGUCAGGGAUGGGGAUGCGUCUGAUUAGCUUGUUGGCGGGGUAACGGCCCACCAAGGCUACGAUCAGUAGGGGUUCUGAGAGGAAGGUCCCCCACAUUGGAACUGAGACACGGUCCAAACUCCUACGGGAGGCAGCAGUGAGGAAUAUUGGUCAAUGGGCGAGAGCCUGAACCAGCCAAGUAGCGUGCAGGAAGACGGCCCUAUGGGUUGUAAACUGCUUUUAUGCGGGGAUAAAGUGAGGGACGGGUCCCUCAUUGCAGGUACCGCAUGAAUAAGGACCGGCUAAUUCCGUG
rnacentral:rRNA from 1 species